rnacentral:rRNA from 1 species
CACGUAGGGCGCAAGCGUUGUCCGGAAUUAUUGGGCGUAAAGAGCUCGUAGGCGGUCUGUUACGUCUGCUGUGAAAACCCAGGGCUUAACCCUGGGCUUGCAGUGGAUACGGGCAGACUAGAGGCAGGUAGGGGAGAAUGGAAUUCCCGGUGUAGCGGUGAAAUGCGCAGAUAUCGGGAGGAACACCGGUGGCGAAGGCGGCUCUCUGGGACGGUACUGACGCUGAGACGCGAAAGCGUGGGGAGCAAACAGG